ensembl:snoRNA LOC120102681 small nucleolar RNA SNORA17
CCUGCACCUAGAGCCUUUACAGGUGUGGUUGCUCGUUCACAUGCGUUUUAGGUGGCAGAGAGGAGACAGUCUAUGUCUGUGCUCAGUUUUCUGACCUAUGAACAUCUGAAAGAUUAACAGCCUAAUUAU